GGUUAAGCGACUAAGCGUACACGGUGGAUGCCCUGGCAGUCAGAGGCGAUGAAGGACGUGCUAAUCUGCGAAAAGCGACGGCGAGGUGAUAUGAACCUUUGACCCGUCGAUGUCCGAAUGGGGAAACCCAGUGCAAUUCGUUGCACUAUCGUUAACUGAAUACAUAGGUUAACGAGGCGAACCGGGGGAACUGAAACAUCUAAGUACCCCGAGGAAAAGAAAUCAACCGAGAUUCCCCCAGUAGCGGCGAGCGAACGGGGAGCAGCCCGGAGUCUGAAUCAGCUUGUGUGUUAGUGGAAGCGUCUGGAAAGUCGCACGGUACAGGGUGACAGUCCCGUACACGAAAAUGCACAGGUUGUGAACUCGAAGAGUAGGGCGGGACACGUGGUAUCCUGUCUGAAUAUGGGGGGACCAUCCUCCAAGGCUAAAUACUCCUGACUGACCGAUAGUGAACCAGUACCGUGAGGGAAAGGCGAAAAGAACCCCGGCGAGGGGAGUGAAAAAGAACCUGAAACCGUGUACGUACAAGCAGUGGGAGCACCUUCGUGGUGUGACUGCGUACCUUUUGUAUAAUGGGUCAGCGACUUAUAUUCUGUAGCAAGGUUAACCGUAUAGGGGAGCCGCAGGGAAACCGAGUCUUAACUGGGCGUUAAGUUGCAGGGUAUAGACCCGAAACCCGGUGAUCUAGCCAUGGGCAGGUUGAAGGUUGGGUAACACUAACUGGAGGACCGAACCGACUAAUGUUGAAAAAUUAGCGGAUGACCUGUGGCUGGGGGUGAAAGGCCAAUCAAACCGGGAGAUAGCUGGUUCUCCCCGAAAGCUAUUUAGGUAGCGCCUCGUGAACUCAUCUUCGGGGGUAGAGCACUGUUUCGGCUAGGGGGCCAUCCCGGCUUACCAACCCGAUGCAAACUACGAAUACCGAAGAAUGUUAUCACGGGAGACACACGGCGGGUGCUAACGUCCGUCGUGAAGAGGGAAACAACCCAGACCGCCAGCUAAGGUCCCAAAGUCAUGGUUAAGUGGGAAACGAUGUGGGAAGGCACAGACAGCCAGGAUGUUGGCUUAGAAGCAGCCAUCAUUUAAAGAAAGCGUAAUAGCUCACUGGUCGAGUCGGCCUGCGCGGAAGAUGUAACGGGGCUAAACCAUGCACCGAAGCUGCGGCAGCGACGCUUAUGCGUUGUUGGGUAGGGGAGCGUUCUGUAAGCCGUUGAAGGUGUGCUGUGAGGCAUGCUGGAGGUAUCAGAAGUGCGAAUGCUGACAUAAGUAACGAUAAAGCGGGUGAAAAGCCCGCUCGCCGGAAGACCAAGGGUUCCUGUCCAACGUUAAUCGGGGCAGGGUGAGUCGACCCCUAAGGCGAGGCCGAAAGGCGUAGUCGAUGGGAAACAGGUUAAUAUUCCUGUACUUGGUGUUACUGCGAAGGGGGGACGGAGAAGGCUAUGUCAGCCGGGCGACGGUUGUCCCGGUUUAAGCGUGUAGGUGUGUGUUCCAGGCAAAUCCGGUUCACUUUAACACUGAGGCGUGAUGACGAGGCACUACGGUGCUGAAGUGAUAAAUGCCCUGCUUCCAGGAAAAGCCUCUAAGCAUCAGGUAACACGAAAUCGUACCCCAAACCGACACAGGUGGUCAGGUAGAGAAUACCAAGGCGCUUGAGAGAACUCGGGUGAAGGAACUAGGCAAAAUGGUGCCGUAACUUCGGGAGAAGGCACGCUGAUAUGUAGGUGAAGUCCCUGCGGACGGAGCUGAAAUCAGUCGAAGAUACCAGCUGGCUGCAACUGUUUAUUAAAAACACAGCACUGUGCAAACACGAAAGUGGACGUAUACGGUGUGACGCCUGCCCGGUGCCGGAAGGUUAAUUGAUGGGGUUAGCGGCAACGCGAAGCUCUUGAUCGAAGCCCCGGUAAACGGCGGCCGUAACUAUAACGGUCCUAAGGUAGCGAAAUUCCUUGUCGGGUAAGUUCCGACCUGCACGAAUGGCGUAAUGAUGGCCAGGCUGUCUCCACCCGAGACUCAGUGAAAUUGAACUCGCUGUGAAGAUGCAGUGUACCCGCGGCAAGACGGAAAGACCCCGUGAACCUUUACUAUAGCUUGACACUGAACACUGGUCCUUGAUGUGUAGGAUAGGUGGGAGGCUUUGAAGCGUGGACGCCAGUCUGCGUGGAGCCGUCCUUGAAAUACCACCCUUUAAUGGCUGGUGUUCUAACGUGGACCCGUGAUCCGGGUUGCGGACAGUGUCUGGUGGGUAGUUUGACUGGGGCGGUCUCCUCCCAAAGAGUAACGGAGGAGCACGAAGGUUAGCUAAUCCUGGUCGGACAUCAGGAGGUUAGUGCAAUGGCAUAAGCUAGCUUGACUGCGAGAGUGACGGCUCGAGCAGGUGCGAAAGCAGGUCAUAGUGAUCCGGUGGUUCUGAAUGGAAGGGCCAUCGCUCAACGGAUAAAAGGUACUCCGGGGAUAACAGGCUGAUACCGCCCAAGAGUUCAUAUCGACGGCGGUGUUUGGCACCUCGAUGUCGGCUCAUCACAUCCUGGGGCUGAAGUAGGUCCCAAGGGUAUGGCUGUUCGCCAUUUAAAGUGGUACGCGAGCUGGGUUUAGAACGUCGUGAGACAGUUCGGUCCCUAUCUGCCGUGGGCGCUGGAGAAUUGAGGGGGGCUGCUCCUAGUACGAGAGGACCGGAGUGGACGCAUCACUGGUGUUCGGGUUGUCAUGCCAAUGGCACUGCCCGGUAGCUAAAUGCGGAAGAGAUAAGUGCUGAAAGCAUCUAAGCACGAAACUUGCCCCGAGAUGAGUUCUCCCUGAGACUUUAAGUCUCCUGAAGGAACGUUGAAGACGACGACGUUGAUAGGCCGGGUGUGUAAGCGCAGCGAUGCGUUGAGCUAACCGGUACUAAUGAACCGUGAGGCUUAACCUU
rnacentral:rRNA from 1 species